rnacentral:rRNA from 1 species
CCCUGUAAUUGGAAUGAGUACACUUUAAAUCCUUUAACAAGGACCUAUUGGAGGGCAAGUCUGGUGCCAGCAGCCGCGGUAACUCCAGCUCCAAUAGCGUAUAUUAAAGUUGUUGCGGUUAAAACGUUCGUAGUUGAACUUGUGCUUCAUACGGGUAGUACAACUAUAAUUGUAGUUUGUACUGUACCUUAUGUAUGUAAGCGUAUUACCGGUGGAGUUCUUAUAUGUGUUUAAUACUUGUAUUUUUCACAUAUUCCUCCUAUUUAAACCUGCUUCAGUGCUCUUCAUCGAGUGUUGUUGUGGGCCGGUACAAUUACUUUGAACAAAUUAGAGUGCUUAAAGCAGGCUCCAAAUGCCUGAAUAUUUUGUGCAUGGAAUAAUGAAAUAAGACCCCUGUUCUACUUUCAUUGGUUUUUAGAUCAAGAGGUAAUGAUUAAUAGAAGCAGUUUGGGGGCAUUAGUAUUACGACGCGAGAGGUGAAAUUCUUGGACCGUCGUAAGACUAACUUAAGCGAAAGCAUUUGCCAAAGAUGUUUUCAUUAAUCAAGAACGAAAGUUAGAGGUUCGAAGGCGAUCAGAUACCGCCCUAGUUCUAACCAUAAACGAUGCCAGCUAGCAAUUGGGUGUAGCUACUAUCAUGGCUCUCUCAGUCGCUUCCCGGGAAACCAAAGCUUUUGGGCUCCGGGGGAAGUAUGGUUGCAAAGCUGAAACUUAAAGGAAUUGACGGAAGGGCACCACCAGGAGUGGAGCCUGCGGCUUAAUUU